rnacentral:sRNA from 1 species
UUAAGUAUCAGAAAAAGUGAUUGAAAAACAAAAAUUUUUACUUUGAAUCUUAUAUUUACGCUAUUUUACAAAAUAAAGAAGUUCCUCUAAAAAGCAACAAGUAAGAGUCUAAAGUUUAGACACUUAACCAGCCAUGCCCAAAAUCAAAAUGGAACUGGAUGUGUUAAAUACUCUCUUUAACCCUAGGAUGGCGAACAUUUUUUCUACAUUGUUGAGCGGACGUGGUCUGGCCAGAUCACAACUUAAAAAGAGCUGUAAUAUGGAAAAGCAAACGAAAUUAUGGAGAUGGAUGUCAUAACAAUACACUCCGUGCAGAGUUUCACCCAAAUCGGGUAACAACUUAAGAUACUAAUCCGAGAGAUCUGUUUCUGAACCAAUCAGGACCAAAUCUGAACCGAUAAGGCAAUCCCAAACGACCUUCUCCAGCAAGAAGUACAUGCGCAAAAUUUUAAGUGAAUAUCUUUAUUCGUUCGGCCGCUAUCGUGAUUUUCACCAUGCUAUUGAGGUGGAUAUUAAAGCAUAAAUAAAUAAAAAUAAAAUCUUUACUUAUACGAAUAAAUUUAUAUUUUCAAAUUAA